rnacentral:miRNA from 1 species
UGGCGGUGCGCGGUGCAAUUUCUG